GUGCUGCUUCAUCAGCACAAAUACUAAAAUUAGAAUAGUAUGGAGAAGAUCAGCAUGGCCUCUGAAUAAGAAUGACACACAAAUUCAUGAAGCAUUUCAUAUUUAA